GCAGGCCUAACACAUGCAAGUCGAGCGCCCCGCAAGGGGAGCGUCAGACGGGAGAGUAACACGUGGGAACGUACCCUUUGGUUCGGAACAACCCAGGGAAACUUGGGCUAAUACCGAAUAAGCCCUUACGGGGAAAGAUUUAUCGCCGAAGGAUCGGCCCGCGUCUGAUUAGCUAGUUGGUGAGGUAACGGCUCACCAAGGCGACGAUCAGUAGCUGGUCUGAGAGGAUGAUCAGCCUCACUGGGACUGAGACACGGCCCAGACUCCUACGGGAGGCAGCAGUGGGGAAUAUUGGACAAUGGGCGCAAGCCUGAUCCGGCCAUGCCGCGUGGGUGAUGAAGGCCCUAGGGUUGUAAAGCCCUUUCGGCGGGGAAGAUAAUGACGGUACCCGCAGAAGAAGCCCCGGCUAACUUCGUGCCAGCAGCCGCGGUAAUACGAAGGGGGCUAGCGUUGCUCGGAAUCACUGGGCGUAAAGCGCACGUAGGCGGAUUGCUAAGUCAGGGGUGAAAUCCUGGAGCUCAACUCCAGAACUGCCUUUGAUACUGGCGACCUUGAGUCCGGGAGAGGUGAGUGGAACUGCGAGUGUAGAGGUGAAAUUCGUAGAUAUUCGCAAGAACACCAGUGGCGAAGGCGGCUCACUGGCCCGGUACUGACGCUGAGACACGAAAGCGUGGGUAGCAAACAGGAUUAGAUACCCUGGUAGUCCACGCCCUAAACGAUGCAUAUUUGGUGUAGGUCAUUCAGUUGAUCUGUGCCGGAGCUAACGCGUUAAAUAUGCCGCCUGGGGAGUACAGUCGCAAGGCUGAAACUCAAAGGAAUUGACGGGGGCCCGCACAAGCGGUGGAGCAUGUGGUUCAAUUCGACGCAACGCGAAGAACCUUACCUGGGCUCGAACGGCUGGUUAACGGCAUUGGAAACAGUGCUACUCCGCGAGGAGGUCCAGUCGAGGUGCUGCAUGGCUGUCGUCAGCUCGUGUCGUGAGAUGUUGGGUUAAGUCCCGCAACGAGCGCAACCCUUGUCCUGUGUUGCCAUCCCGCAAGGGGGCACUCGCAGGAGACCGCCAGCGAUAAGCUGGAGGAAGGUGGGGAUGACGUCAAGUCCUCAUGGCCUUUAUGUCCAGGGCUACACACGUGCUACAAUGGCCGGUACAAAGCGCUGCUAAGUCGCGAGACGGAGCCAAUCGCAAAAAACCGGUCUCAGCUCGGAUUGCAGGCUGCAACUCGCCUGCAUGAAGCUGGAAUCGCUAGUAAUGGCGUAUCAGAACGAUGCCGUGAAUACGUUCCCGGGCCUUGUACACACCGCCCGUCACAUCACGAAAGUGGGUUGUACUAGAAGUCUGCAGGCUGACCCGCAAGGGAGGCAGCGGCCCAAGGUAUGACUCAUGAUUGGGGUGAAGUCGAAACAAGGUA
rnacentral:rRNA from 1 species